rnacentral:misc_RNA from 1 species
UAUGAUCUUGCAGGUGGGACAAAGCUGAGACCAGUUCCCAGUCCAACUGGAAGUAUUGUUCAGAUCAAUAUUCAAUAGUGGAUCCUGAGCAUCAGGUUGACCAGCAACAGCGGUUUUGAUGUAACCUGGAUCUUUACUACUGCAACGAACUAACACUAGAAGUGCGGCAACUGCCAGGGAAACAGCAGUCCAUCCCCAAAGUGCG